UCGUAACAAGGUUUCCGUAGGUGAACCUGCGGAAGGAUCAUUACUGUGAUUUACUACUACACUGCGUGAGCGGAACGAAAACAACAACACCUAAAAUGUGGAAUAUAGCAUAUAGUCGACAAGAGAAAUCUACGAAAAAACAAACAAAACUUUCAACAACGGAUCUCUUGGUUCUCGCAUCGAUGAAGAGCGCAGCGAAAUGCGAUACCUAGUGUGAAUUGCAGCCAUCGUGAAUCAUCGAGUUCUUGAACGCACAUUGCGCCCCUCGGCAUUCCGGGGGGCAUGCCUGUUUGAGCGUCGUUUCCAUCUUGCGCGUGCGCAGAGUUGGGGGAGCGGAGCGGACGACGUGUAAAGAGCGUCGGAGCUGCGACUCGCCUGAAAGGGAGCGAAGCUGGCCGAGCGAACUAGACUUUUUUUCAGGGACGCUUGGCGGCCGAGAGCGAGUGUUGCGAGACAACAAAAAGCUCGACCUCAAAUCAGGUAGGAAUACCCGCUGAACUUAAGCAUAUCAAUAA
rnacentral:misc_RNA from 1 species